rnacentral:snRNA from 1 species
GCGGGUGCACCGCCGACCGACC